UACGAAGGGGGCUAGCGUUGCUCGGAAUUACUGGGCGUAAAGCGCACGUAGGCGGCUUUCUAAGUCGGGGGUGAAAUCCUGGAGCUCAACGCCGAGUCGGCCCUUGAUACUGCGAGGCUGGAGCACUGUAGAGGCUAAUGGAAUUCCGGGUGUAGCGGUGGAAUGCGUAGAGAUCCGGAAGAACACCGGUGGCGAAGGCGGUUAGCUGGGCAGUUGCUGACACUGAGGCGCGACAGCGUGGGGAGCAAACAGG
rnacentral:rRNA from 1 species